rnacentral:rRNA from 1 species
ACGGCGAGUGAAGCGGCAACAGCUCAAAUUUGAAAUCUGGCUCUUUCAGAGUCCGAGUUGUAAUUUGCAGAGGGCGCUUUGGCUUUGGCAGCGGUCCAAGUUCCUUGGAACAGGACGUCACAGAGGGUGAGAAUCCCGUACGUGGUCGCUAGCUAUUGCCGUGUAAAGCCCCUUCGACGAGUCGAGUUGUUUGGGAAUGCAGCUCUAAAUGGGAGGUAAAUUUCUUCUAAAGCUAAAUAUUGGCCAGAGACCGAUAGCGCACAAGUAGAGUGAUCGAAAGAUGAAAAGCACUUUGGAAAGAGAGUCAAACAGCACGUGAAAUUGUUGAAAGGGAAGCGCUUGCAGCCAGACUUGCUUGCAGUUGCUCAUCCGGGCUUUUGCCCGGUGCACUCUUCUGUAGGCAGGCCAGCAUCAGUUUGGGCGGUGGGAUAAAGGUCUCUGUCACGUACCUUCCUUCGGGUUGGCCUUAUAGGGGAGACGCCAUACCACCAGCCUGGACUGAGGUCCGCGCAUCUGCUAGGAUGCUGGCGUAAUGGCUGUAAGCGGCCCGUCUUGAAACACGGACCAAGGAGUCUAACAUCUAUGCGAGUGUUUGGGUGUCAAGCCCGAACGCGUAAUGAAAGUGAACGGAGGUGGGAACCCGCAAGGGUGCACCAUCGACCGAUCCUGAAGUUUACGGAAGGAUUUGAGUAAGAGCAUGGCUGUUGGGACCCGAAAGAUGGUGAACUAUGCUUGAAUAGGGUGAAGCCAGAGGAAACUCUGGUGGAGGCUCGCAGCGGUUCUGACGUGCAAAUCGAUCGUCA